CAGUAGCCGCGGGAAUACGUAGGGUGCGAGCGUUAAUCGGAAUUACUGGGCGUAAAGCGUGCGCAGGCGGUUCGUUAAGACAGAUGUGAAAUCCCCGGGCUUAACCUGGAAACUGCAUUUGUGACUGGCGAGCUAGAGUAUGGCAGAGGGGGGUAGAAUUCCACGUGUAGCAGUGAAAUGCGUAGAGAUGUGGAGGAAUACCGAUGGCGAAGGCAGCCCCCUGGGCCAAUACUGACGCUCAUGCACGAAAGCGUGGGGAGCAAGCAGGAUUAGAUACCCCUGUAGUCCCUGUCUCUUAUAC
rnacentral:rRNA from 1 species